UACGUAGGGGCGCAAGCGUUUAUCCCGGAAUUAUUUGGGGCGUAAAGAGCUCGUAGGCGGUUUGUCGCGUCUGCCGUGAAAGUCCGGGGGCUCAACUCCGGAUCUGCGGUGGGGUACGGGGCAGACUAGAGUGAUGUAGGGGGAGACUGGAAUUCCUGGGUGUAGCGGGUGAAAUGCGCAGAUAUCAGGAGGGAACACCG
rnacentral:rRNA from 1 species